UACGGGGGGGGCAAGCGUUGUUCGGAAUUACUGGGCGUAAAGGGCUCGUAGGUGGCCAACUAAGUCAGACGUGAAAUCCCUCAGCUUAACUGGGAACUGCGUCUGAUACUGGAUGGCUUGAGUUUGGGAGAGGGAUGCGGAAUUCCAGGUGUAGCGGUGAAAUGCGUAGAUAUCUGGAGGAACACCGGUGGCGAAGGCGGCAUCCUGGACCAACACUGACACUGAGGAGCGAAAGCCAGGGGAGCAAACGGG
rnacentral:rRNA from 1 species